rnacentral:piRNA from 3 species
GUCAGUUACAGAUUGAACUCCUGUUC